UGAGUGGGCAGCGUGGACGAUGAGCUGGGGUCUGGGCUCCGGGCAGGAGUCACCACCUGGGGGAGUGGGGGAGGACUGAUCUGGGCUUUGCUAUGAAUGGGGCCUGUAGUCGGGCUCCCUGGAGCCUCCGCAGGUCAGGACACGAGUCAGACACCUCUGCUCCCCAAGAACCCCCCGUUCCUGCCACUCAGGGCUGCGGGCAGGGUGUCCUGGCCAAAGCCUCCAUCCAGGCCCCCCUCGUCUUCCCCUUGGCCACCUGCUGCAAAGGCACCAUCGCCACUGCCCCGUCCGUGACACUGGGCUGCCUGGUCACGGGCUACUUCCCGAUGCCGGUGACUGUGACCUGGGAUGCAGGGUCCCUGAACAAGAGCGUCGUGACCCUCCCCGCCACCCUCCAGGAGACCUCUGGCCUCUACACCACCACCAGCCACGUGACCGUCUCGGGCGAGUGGGCCAAACAGAAGUUCACCUGCAGUGUGGCUCACGCGGAGUCCCCCACCAUCAACAAGACCGUCAGUGCGUGUGCCAUGAACUUCAUUCCCCCCACCGUGAAGCUCUUCCACUCCUCGUGUAACCCCCUCGGUGACACCAGUAGCACCAUCCAGCUCCUGUGCCUCAUCUCUGGCUACGUCCCAGGUGACAUGGAGGUCACCUGGCUGGUGGAUGGGCAGAAGGCCACGAACAUAUUCCCAUACACUGCCCCCAGCAAGCAGGAGGGCAAGGUGACCUCCACCCACAGCGAGCUCAACAUCACGCAGGGUGAGUGGGUGUCCCAAAAGACCUACACUUGCCAGGUCACCUAUCAAGGCUUCACCUUUGAGGACAACGCUCGCAAGUGCACAGAGUCUGACCCCCGAGGUGUGAGCACCUACCUGAGCCCGCCCAGCCCUCUUGACCUGUACGUCCACAAGUCGCCCAAGAUCACCUGCUUGGUGGUGGACCUGGCCAACACAGACGGCAUGAUCCUGACCUGGUCGCGGGAGAAUGGGGAGUCUGUGCACCCAGACCCGAUGGUCAAGAAGACUCAGUACAACGGGACAAUCACCGUCACUUCCACCCUGCCUGUGGAUGCCACUGACUGGGUUGAGGGGGAGACCUACCAAUGCAAGGUGACCCAUCCGGACCUGCCCAAGGACAUCGUGCGCUCCAUUGCCAAAGCCCCCGGCCGGCGUUUCCCCCCGGAGGUGUACGUGUUCCUGCCGCCCGAGGGGGAGCCGAAGACCAAGGACAAAGUCACUCUCACGUGCCUGAUCCAGAACUUCUUUCCCCCGGACAUCUCGGUGCAAUGGCUUCACAACGACAGCCCUGUUCGGACGGAACAGCAGGCCACCACGUGGCCCCACAAGGCCACCGGCCCCAGCCCAGCCUUCUUUGUCUUCAGUCGCCUUGAGGUCAGCCGGGCAGACUGGGAGCAGAGGGAUGUGUUCACCUGCCAAGUGGUGCACGAGGCGCUGCCUGGCUCUAGGACGCUCAAGAAAUCCGUGUCCAAAAACCCUGAGCUGGAGCUCCAGGACCUGUGUGCGGACGCCGCUGAGAGCUACGAGCUGGACGAGCUAUGGACCAGCCUGCUGGUCUUCAUCACCCUCUUCCUGCUCAGCGUGAGCUACGGAGCCGCCAUCACCCUCUUCAAGGUGAAGUCGGUACUUGCCACCGUCCUGCAGAAGCCGCAGACCUUCCAGGACUACGCAAACGUACAGGCGGCGAAGUAGCCAGGAGCCAGAGCAACGAGGGCUCGCUUCCCCCUCCCCCUCCCCCUCCCCAUGUCUGAGGCAGUCUGCCUGCCCUGGUGGGGGGGGGGGGGGGAGCGCAGCACACAGGCAUCCAGAAGGUUCCAGCUCAGCCCCAAGGUCCAAGGCACCGAUGGGACCUGCCAAUCACAGCCCCUACCCCGCCCACUUUGGGACAAGCGGCAGAAGAUCAUCAGUCCCUCCACAAAGUGACCUGGGGUCAGGGCCACUCCUGUUCUGACCAAACAACCCCCAAAGCAGGCUGAGGGGGAAGCCCGUGGCCCCGCCCACCGCUGAGUUCUGAGCCAAAAAAGACUCACAGCCCAAGCCAGACUCAGCCCGACCUCCCUGCCACCAGGUCCAAGUGCCUGCCCCUGGGCCCAGCCUUCCCACCGGCCACUGGCAGCACCUGCCCCUGCAGAAUGCAGGUCUGCGGGCAGGGCUCCCAGUGGGAGGAGGGGUCUCGCAGCAGAAGGAACUGCCCACGGGUCCUGGGCCAGCAGCUCCCACCCUGUCCACCCAGGCCCCAUGUGACCUCUCACUCCUGGCUUGGCAACCCUCUUGCCCUGUUAACUUCAUUUUGAGUUUCUUAGUAAAGUGCCUUCUUACAAAUCCCUGUCACC